rnacentral:rRNA from 1 species
AGGACGAACGCUGGCGGCGUGCUUAACACAUGCAAGUCGAACGGAAAGGCCCCUUCGGGGGUACUCGAGUGGCGAACGGGUGAGUAACACGUGGGUGAUCUGCCCUGCACUUCGGGAUAAGCCUGGGAAACUGGGUCUAAUACCGGAUAUACCUCAUUGAUCUCCUGGUUGGUGGGGGAAAGCUUUUGCGGUGUGGGAUGGGCCCGCGGCCUAUCAGCUUGUUGGUGAGGUUACGCUCACCAAGGCGUCGACGGGUAGCCGGCCUGAGAGGGUGUCCGGCCACGACUGGGACUGAGAUACGGCCCAGACUCCUACGGGAGGCAGCAGGUGGGGAAUAUUGCACAAUGGGCGCAAGCCUGAUGCAGCGACGCCGGCGGUGGGGAUCGGACGGCCGUUCGGGUUAUAAACCUCUUUCAGCACAGAACGAAGCGACAAGUCGUACGGUAUGGUGACAAGAAGAACGUCCGAACCCGGACCUAACGUACGUCGACCGA